CGGAGGUCCAUAAAAGAGCCCCGCGGUGCCUCCGCGCCAUUCAUUCAUUUCCACCGGCGGGAAGCGGAUUUGCGCAUCUUCCCAGGUUCGAAGAGGCCUUCCCUCUCGCGGCCAAGGCAGGGGAGUUGCGCAGCGUCGCGACUUGGCGGGAGAAGGUGGGAUGUGCCGACGGACGUCGAUCUCCCAGGUCAAGGGGUCCCGAAGCCCGACCACCACCGGAGAACGCUGCUGGCGUGCCCCGCCGACCCCCGGAUCCAGCUGUGGUUCCAGAACUGCAGAGCAAAUCGAGCGGAGGGGAAAGUUUUGGAAGAUCCCUCCAGGAGAUCCCUUCACUGUGGACCCCUGGGCCGAUGGCCUCCCUAUGAUGCAGGGUGCAAGCUGUCUCUUGUUCAAGAUCCAGAGGGGUGUUAAUGGAGAGCUGGAUUGACUUCAUGGGCUAUGAUACUGCCCGCAGUAAAGGUGUGCAUUUUGAAAUUGCCACAAGACUCUGGACAAAAAAAUCUGCUGGGCAAAGAAGAGGGGCAAGGCGUGGAGGCCCAAUGCCCAGAAUUGCCCCCCCCCCCCGUGCAAUUUCCACCUGCUCCAGAGAUUGCAAGUUGCAGCAUGUAGUCACCUCACAAGAUGGAGCCUGCCACCACUUCAUAGGGUUCCAAGCUUUCAGAAGACACUGAGCUGACUUUGCUGGGUGACAGGAUGGCUUAACUUGCUCGCUUAAUAAUUUGCUACUGGGCCUGGUUCAAGUGUUACUUCAUAGAUCACUAACCAGCUGGGGACCAACGUACUUUAAGGAGUAUCUGAUUCCUUGUGUUCUGCUUCAGUCACUAAGACCCUCUGAUGGGGCAAAUUUGGUGGACCUAGAUGCUUCAGAGGGUUAGGAGGGGUUGGGACUUCAGAGUGGCAGGUCAUCCCCCUCAAGGGAGCUUUGGCAUGAUUUGUCCUUGCUUGCUUUUCAAAAAUAUUGUAAAAACUACCGUAUAUUCAGACAGGUCUUUCAAACUUGAUGUGUUGGAUAUUUUUCUUGUUGUACUGUGAUUUUAGACUGGUGAUAUUUUAUAUGAAAGUUUGGUUUAUAAAUAUUUAAGAUAAAUAAUAAAAUAAUUCUGUCCAGCUUGUA